rnacentral:rRNA from 1 species
CCUACGGGAGGCAGCAGUAGGGAAUGUUCGUCAAUGGGCGCAAGCCUGAACGAGCAAUGCCGCGUGAAAGAGGAAGGUCUUCGGAUCGUAAAGUUCUGUUGAAGGGGAAAAAGAGCGGAGAGAGGAAAUGCUUUCUGAUUGAUAUUACCCUUCGAGGAAGGCACGGCUAACUACGUGCCAGCAGCCGCGGUCAUACGUAGGGAGCGAGCGUUGUCCGGAAUUACUGGGGGGAAAGGGAGCGUAGGCGGGACUGCAAGUUGGGGGUCAAAUCUACCGGCUCAACCGGUAGCCGCACUCAAAACUGCAGUUCUUGAGUGAAGUAGAGGCAGGCGGAAUUCCUAGUGUAGCGG